ACAGAUGUGGGUAGGAAAGCUAAUGGAGAAAGGCAGAUGUAGAAUAAAAAUUUUACUAGUGGUACACUAAGUAGAGCAGCACUUGACAUAAACAUAUACUAUGCACUAGCAUGGAUCUCUCUGGCAAUGUUUGUGAUUUCAGAUUUAUUGGCCAAGAUCUUCUGGAAAUUAAAUAAAAGCAACAACAAUCUGAAAAGAGAGGAGGAAAAAGAAAAGGAAAGAAAGAAAGAAGGAAAGGAAGGAAAAGAAAUAAAGAAAAAAGCAUAAAGGCAGGACUUUGCAUUUGGAACUCAUCUACAAUCACAAGGUGGAAUUAUAUUUUGCAUAUCUUACAGCACUGUCAUGAAUAGCAGCAAGCUGUGUGUGAUUGCUAGCUUAGAGUGGGUUAUUUCUGCACUGCACCAAUCUACCUGGAAUUUGAUACAGCAGUUACUGGUGAUGUCUUUCCCAUUGGCAGCAAAGGUUCAUUGUUGCUCCAGCCACCUUCAAUCACAGCAUCACAAGUUCAGGCUUCAGGAAUAUUAAAGGAUUCUCACAAAAGAAGACUUUGAUGAAUUCAGUGAUGCAUUAAGGACAGGUUGAUGCCGUGCUCAGAAAAUGAUCUUUAGCUCUGCAGCUGAGAAGUGAUGAAAAGGAACAAUCAAGCCCUCUUCAUGAUGCUUUGUCCUUGCAACACCACUGUAUUUCAGGUCCCUCACCCUCGUGGCUUGGCCAAAGGCACAAACAAUGCAAAGAUAACAAAGGAUGAUGCCCAUUGGUCUAGAAGAAUCUUUGGCUCCUUCAGGCACAUAAAAGGCGACAGAUAUUCAAGGAACUGACUUCAUUGCAAUGGUAGGAGCAGCACAUUUUUCCCCGUGUUUUUCACAGUACAGAAACUGGUGAUUGCUUGGGCAUUUAGCUUCAGCCAAAGGCUAAAUGACCCCUUCU
rnacentral:lncRNA from 7 species